CUGAUCGGAGAUGUUGCUGGCGGCUAUUUGACGUAUGUGCACUCUCAUAAACCCACACACCUGUGAACCAUUGUAGUCUUGCAUCAAAGGGAGCCUUAGGUUCUCUGCUUGACUAUGUUUUUAUACACUCUUUAUUAAUUUAUAGAAUGUAUCAUGACCUUAACAAAGUCAUAUAAACUAAUA
rnacentral:misc_RNA from 1 species